rnacentral:rRNA from 1 species
CUUGUACACACCGCCCGUCACACCAUGGAAGUAGGUUGCACCAGAAGUAGGUAGUCUAACCUUCGGGAGGACGCUUACCACGGUGUGGCUUAUGACUGGGGUG